rnacentral:rRNA from 1 species
UACGGAGGGUCCAAGCGUUAUCCGGAAUCAUUGGGUUUAAAGGGUGCGUAGGCGGCUUUGUAAGUCAGUGGUGAAAUAUGGCAGCUCAACUGUCAGGGUGCCAUUGAUACUGCGGAGCUUGAGUACAGAUGAGGUAGGCGGAAUUGACGGUGUAGCGGUGAAAUGCUUAGAUAUCGUCAAGAACACCGAUAGCGAAGGCAGCUUACUGGGCUGUAACUGACGCUGAGGCACGAAAGUGUGGGGAUCAAACAGG